rnacentral:rRNA from 1 species
UCAAAUUUUACAACGACUCUCGGCAACGGAUAUCUUGGCUCUCGCAUCGAUGAAGAACGUAGCAAAAUGCGAUAGCUGGUGUGAAUUGCAGAAUCCCGUGAACCAUCGAGUUUUUGAACGCAAGUUGCGCCCGAAGCCGUCAGGCCAAGGGCACGCCUGUCUG